rnacentral:rRNA from 1 species
CCUACGGGCGGCAGCAGUGAGGAAUAUUGGUCAAUGGGCGGAAGCCUGAACCAGCCAAGUCGCGUGAGGGAAUAAGGCCCUACGGGUCGUAAACCUCUUUUGCCGGGGAGCAAGGGCGGGGACGUGUCCCGGCCCGGAGAGUACCCGGAGAAAAAGCAUCGGCUAACUCCGUGCCAGCAGCCGCGGUAAUAAGGGGGAUGCGAGCGUGAUCCGGAUUGAUUGGGUUUGAAGGGUGCGUAGGCGGGCCUUUAAGUCAGCGGGAAAAAGUCGGGGCGCAACCCCGUCCGGCCGUUGAGACGGGGGGCCUUGAGUGGGCGAGAAGAAGGCGGAAUGCGUGGUGUAGCGGUGAAAUGCAUAGAUAUCACGCAGAACCCCGAUUGCGAAGGCAGCCUUCCGGCGCCCUACUGACGCUGAGGCACGAAAGUGCGGGGAUCGAACAGGAUUAGAUACCCGUGUAGUC